UGGGGAAUAUUGCACAAUGGGCGCAAGCCUGAUGCAGCCAUGCCGCGUGUAUGAAGAAGGCCUUCGGGUUGUAAAGUACUUUCAGCGGGGAGGAAGGCGAUAAGGUUAAUAACCUUGUCGAUUGACGUUACCCGCAGAAGAAGCACCGGCUAACUCCGUGCCAGCAGCCGCGGUAAUACGGAGGGUGCAAGCGUUAAUCGGAAUUACUGGGCGUAAAGCGCACGCAGGCGGUCUGUCAAGUCGGAUGUGAAAUCCCCGGGCUCAACCUGGGAACUGCAUUCGAAACUGGCAGGCUAGAGUCUUGUAGAGGGGGGUAGAAUUCCAGGUGUAGCGGUGAAAUGCGUAGAGAGCUGGAGGAAUACCGGUGGCGAAGGCGGCCCCCUGGACAAAGACUGACGCUCAGGUGCGAAAGCGUGGGGAGCAAACA
rnacentral:rRNA from 1 species